GUUGCAAGAAAUCCCUCUUUUUGCCUCGCGGAUCAUCUCUCCCAUUUCUAUAUGCCCCUGACCCGUGUCUGACUGCGCCUCCGUCCUGAGAGGGCACGUACUGAAAAUCCCCGCGACCGACAUGUGGGAAUCAGGGGCACCAUGGACGGGCCUCCGCUGACACUGAAUUGUUCCCCUUAACGACCCGAGGCGGGACUAGCAACUUCAAGAUUUUUUGUGAAUCUGAUUACUGAAAUAGUCCUGACAACACGAGCAGUUCUGGCUCUGGGGGCUCAUGGAAUCUCAGAUGCAAACAUCUUGCCUCCAGUCCUUGACUUUGUAGCAGAUGAACGUGACCUACUGUCUACCCUUGUGUCCUUGAUUCUUUGAAAUAAGAAAGAGAAAACGGGGUGAGGACAAGGGAAAGGGGGUCCUAGGGUGGGA